GUUCGUCUGAUAAUUUUGUUUAGAAUGGGAAAAAAAUAAGGUUAUAAGCAAACAUAUACAAUUAGUUUAAUGGAUACACAUUUGAAAAUGGUUUUGUCUCAUUGGUCCUUUCAAAUAACGAUCUUUACAAUGACCGGUUGCAUGUAAUGAACAAAUUUGGGUAUAAAAUCAACUUAUGAAAUCGAAGAAAAUCUUAAAU